GCCUCGGGAUGGGGAUGCGUAGGAUUAGGCAGGCGGCGGGGUAACGGCCCACCGCGCCGACGAUCCUUAGGGGUUCUGAGAGGAAGGUCCCCCACACUGGUACUGAGACACGGACCAGACUCCUACGGGAGGCAGCAGUGAGGAAUAUUGGUCAAUGGGCGCGAGCCUGAACCAGCCAAGUAGCGUGCAGGAUGACGGCCCUAUGGGUUGUAAACUGCUUUUAUGCGGGGAUAAAGUGCGGCACGUGUGCCGUUUUGUAGGUACCGCAUGAAUAAGGACCGGCUAAUUCCGUGCCAGCAGCCGCGGUAAUACGGAAGGUCCGGGCGUUAUCCGGAUUUAUUGGGUUUAAAGGGAGCGCAGGCGGCCUUUUAAGCGUGACGUGAAAUGUAGGCGCUCAACGUCUGAAUUGCGUCGCGAACUGUUAGGCUUGAGUAGACGGAAUGUCGGCGGAAUUCGUGGUGUAGCGGUGAAAUGCUUAGAUAUCACGAAGAACUCCGAUUGCGAAGGCAGCUGACAGCAGUUUUACUGACGCUCAUGCUCGAAAGUGCGGGUAUCGAACAGGAUUAGAUACCCUGGUAGUCCGCACGGUAAACGAUGGAUGCCCGCUGUUUGCUUUUAAAGUAAGCGGCCAAGCGAAAGCAUUAAGCAUCCCACCUGGGGAGUACGCCGGCAACGGUGAAACUCAAAGGAAUUGACGGGGGCCCGCACAAGCGGAGGAACAUGUGGUUUAAUUCGAUGAUACGCGAGGAACCUUACCCGGGCUUGAACUGCACAGGAAUGCGGGAGAGAUCCCAAAGCCCUUCGGGGCCUGUGUGGAGGUGCUGCAUGGUUGUCGUCAGCUCGUGCCGUGAGGUGUCGGCUUAAGUGCCAUAACGAGCGCAACCCUUCUCUUCAGUUGCCAUCACUUCGGGUGGGCACUCUGGAGACACUGCCACCGUAAGGUGUGAGGAAGGUGGGGAUGACGUCAAAUCAGCACGGCCCUUACGUCCGGGGCUACACACGUGUUACAAUGGCGCGUACAGAGGGCCGGCACUGGGCAAUCAGUGUCCAAUCCUUAAAACGCGUCUCAGUUCGGACUGGGGUCUGCAACCCGACCCCACGAAGCUGGAUUCGCUAGUAAUCGCGCAUCAGCCAUGGCGCGGUGAAUACGUUCCCGGGCCUUGUACACACCGCCCGUCAAGCCAUGAAAG
rnacentral:rRNA from 1 species